GGACUACAAGGGUAUCUAAUCCCGUUUGCUCCCCUAGCUUUCGCGCCUCAGCGUCAGAAGAGGUCCAGUACGUCGCUUUCGCCACCGGCGUUCCUUCUGAUAUCAACGCAUUUCACCGCUCCACCAGAAGUUCCACAUACCCCUACCUCCCUCGAGCUCACCAGUAUCGAAGGCACUUCAACAGUUAAGCUGCUGGAUUUCACCCCCGACUUGGCAAGCCGCCUACGCGCCCUUUAAGCCCAGUGAUUCCGAACAACGUUCGCACGGUUCGUCUUACCGCGGCUGCUGGCAC
rnacentral:rRNA from 1 species